CCUACGGGAGGCAGCAGUAGGGAAUAUUGCACAAUGGGCGCAAGCCUGAUGCAGCGACGCCGCGUGGGGGAUGAAGGCCUUCGGGUUGUAAACUCCUUUCGCUAUCGACGAAGCCACUUUGUGGUGACGGUAGGUAGAUAAGAAGCACCGGCUAACUACGUGCCAGCAGCCGCGGUAAU
rnacentral:rRNA from 1 species